rnacentral:rRNA from 1 species
GACAGAGGAUGCAAGCGUUAUCCGGAAUGAUUGGGCGUAAAGCGUCUGUAGGUGGCUUGUCGCGUCGGCUGUGAAAACCUGGGGCUCAACCCCGGGCCUGCAGCCGAUACGGGCAAGCUAGAAUCGGUAGGGAGGACUGGAAUUCCUGGUGGUAGCGGUGGAAUGCGCAGAUAUCAGGAGGAACACCAAUGGCGAAGGCAGAUCUCUGGGCCGUAACUGACGCUGAGGAGCGAAAGCAUGGGGAGCGAACAGG